rnacentral:lncRNA from 1 species
UUAGUACAUUUCGAACAGACCUUACAAAUAUUUGAACAGACUAACUAGCUUAAAGAACACAACAACACCUAUGAAAUGAAACUCCAUUUGAUAACAGCAUUAGUACAUUUCGAACAGAAAUCACAACUAUUUGAACAGACACAUUUAUACAAAGAACACAACAACUAUAAACAGCAAAAUUCCCCAGACGAAAAAAUGCACACCAAAAGGAUUCUCCCAAAAUUCCCAAAUUCCAGAUCUGAAAGUUUAGGGCUUGAGUUGAUGGGGAAGAAUCGAGGGAGUCAGGGAUUGAGGGCGGCGGUUCUAAUUGAUGCUGCUCGGCGGAUUAGGCUCGAAGAAGGAGGCGGCGAUGGUGUGGCUGGUUGGGGGCUCCGGCGAGUAGUCGGGCAGGACGUCUGGGACAGCGGCGAUGCUUCAAGAUCUGGGUCGUUUGGUCUAUUCAGGAGGAGAAGAGAGAGCGACUCAGGGAGAAUCAGAGGCGGUGGUGAUGGUGGUUCGUCGCGGCGGCGAUGAUAGUUGAUGGUCGCUACUGCCAGACCGAAGGAGAAGGGGGCGGCGGCGAUUCUCGCCGCUCGCCGUUGAAAUAGAGAGAGAGAUGAGGUUUUUGAUGGUGAAAAUCGUGACGACGUCGACGAUCUUGCUGGACCUCCGGUGGUUUAGGGAGGAGGAAGAAAGGAGGUGCAGUGGUGGCGGCUGUAGCGGCAGAGGGAGAGGAGAUUUGAU